AAUAGAUACCCUGGUAGUCCACGCCGUAAACGAUGAUAACUAGCUGUCCGGGCUCAUGGAGCUUGGGUGGCGCAGCUAACGCAUUAAGUUAUCCGCCUGGGGAGUACGGUCGCAAGAUUAAAACUCAAAGGAAUUGACGGGGGCCUGCACAAGCGGUGGAGCAUGUGGUUUAAUUCGAAGCAACGCGCAGAACCUUACCAGCCUUUGACAUCCCGGUCGCGGUUACCAGAGAUGGUUUCCUUCAGUUCGGCUGGACCGGUGACAGGUGCUGCAUGGCUGUCGUCAGCUCGUGUCGUGAGGUGUUGGGUUAAGUCCCGCAACGAGCGCAACCCUCGUCCUUAGUUGCCAUCAUUUAGUUGGGCACUCUAAGGAAACCGCCGGUGAUAAGCCGGAGGAAGGUGGGGAUGACGUCAAGUCCUCAUGGCCCUUACAGGCUGGGCUACACACGUGCUACAAUGGCGGUGACAGUGGGCAGCGACCCCGGCAAGGGUGAGCUAAUCUCCAAAAGCCGUCUCAGUUCGGAUUGUUCU
rnacentral:rRNA from 1 species